rnacentral:rRNA from 1 species
GAACCUUUACUAUAGCUUGACACUGAACAUUGAGCCUUGAUGUGUAGGAUAGGUGGGAGGCUUUGAAGUGUGGACGCCAGUCUGCAUGGAGCCGACCUUGAAAUACCACCCUUUAAUGUUUGAUGUUCUAACGUGGACCCGUAAUCCGGGUUGCGGACAGUGUCUGGUGGGUAGUUUGACUGGGGCGGUCUCCUCCUAAAGAGUAACGGAGGAGCACGAAGGUUGGCUAAUCCUGGUCGGACAUCAGGAGGUUAGUGCAAUGGCAUAAGCCAGCUUGACUGCGAGCGUGACGGCGCGAGCAGGUGCGAAAGCAGGUCAUAGUGAUCCGGUGGUUCUGAAUGGAAGGGCCAUCGCUCAACGGAUAAAAGGUACUCCGGGGAUAACAGGCUGAUACCGCCCAAGAGUUCAUAUCGACGGCGGUGUUUGGCACCUCGAUGUCGGCUCAUCACAUCCUGGGGCUGAAGUAGGUCCCAAGGGUAUGGCUGUUCGCCAUUUAAAGUGGUACGCGAGCUGGGUUUAGAACGUCGUGAGACAGUUCGGUCCCUAUCUGCCGUGGGCGCUGGAGAACUGAGGGGGGCUGCUCCUAGUACGAGAGGACCGGAGUGGACGCAUCACUGGUGUUCGGGUUGUCAUGCCAAUGGCACUGCCCGGUAGCUAAAUGCGGAAGAGAUAAGUGCUGAAAGCAUCUAAGCACGAAACUUGCCCCGAGAUGAGUUCUCCCUGAGACUUAGAGUCUCCUGAAGGAACGUUGAAGACGACGACGUUGAUAGGCCGGGUGUGUAAGCGCAGCGAUGCGUUGAGCUAACCGGUACUAAUGAACCGUGAGGCUUAACCUU